CUGCUCGCACUUUCCAUAUGGAGCUGGGAGCGUUUGCCGGUUGGACGACCUAAGACCGUGAAGUACGAGGAUUGGGACGAUAAAUACGACCCACUACGGCUCCCCACUUGGGCUUACAAGUGGGAUGUGUUAAAUGAGACGACGAAUGAUCCCUCUGUAAUGUACAAGUUGUACAAGAGCGAGCUGGACGCGAUCACGCCUGAGCAGGUGAACCGACCUUGCAUAAGUGAUUAUCAUGCUUGUAUCUUCACUCGAUAUCAAUUUUGCAUUCAAUCCCAUUUUGCAGGUGGAAUGGGAGCCGUAUGGAAAAGGAGAGAGUUUUGGUAA
rnacentral:rRNA from 1 species